rnacentral:misc_RNA from 1 species
GAAACACGAAAUCACGAUUUAUUUCACAAUAGAUCAAUCCAUAUACACAAGCUUGUAAAUAACUAGGCAAAUAUAACUGUACAGUGCACACAAGGAGAACUUCUUGCAACUAUAUUUGAAACAAAUUAGUAAGCAAUGGACUGAAGAAAGUUGUCAACAGGGUGGAAACAAGAAAAGGACUGCGCACAAAAAAACUGACUCAACCAGAAAAGGACUAGUAUUUUUAUUGCACACCCCAAUUAUAUCAAGGCUCAAUGAGGAUAGAACAAUGAGCAUGUAAAUGAAGGAUAAAUUUGUUUAAAUGAGAAGAGAGGAGGUGUUAGAGGAACUACUAGGAAGAAACAAGGGCCUCUUAUUCCUUGUUACCGAAUUUCUUAGCAAUAAUAGGUCGGACAUCAUCAGCAUCAGCCAGUGUCUCUAGGAAUGGAAGUAAAGAAAUUAGUGCAGAGUCUGAAGGAUCAUCAAACCAACUCUUAAUAGGAAUCCCAUUAUUCACUUGCAAUCUGAAA